rnacentral:rRNA from 1 species
ACGGCUCAGUAACACGUAAGUCAACCUAACUCGUGGACGUGGAUAACCUCGGGAAACUGAGAAUAAACCACGAUAGAUCAUAGUGCCUGGAAUGGCUUAUGGUCCAAACAGUUUACUGCCAUGGGAUGGGACUGCGGCCUAUCAGCUUGUUGGUGAGGUAAUGGCCCACCAAGGCGAUUACAGGUACGGGCUCUGAGAGGAGUAGCCCGGAGAUGGGUACUGAGACACGGACCCAGGCCCUAUGGGGCGCAGCAGGCGAGAAACCUUAGCAAUGUGCGAAAGCACGACUGGGUCAGUCCGAGUGAUUCCUGAUAAAGGAGUCUUUUGCCUGUCCUAAAAGCACAGGUGAAUAAGGGGUGGGCAAGUCUGGUGUCAGCCGCCGCGGUAAUACCAGCACCUCGAGUGGUCAGGACGUUUAUUGGGCCUAAAGCAUCCGUAGCCGGCUCUGCAAGUCUUCGGUUAAAUCCACCUGCUCAACAGAUGGGCCGCUGGAGAUACUACAGAGCUAGGGAGUGGGAGAGGCAGACGGUAUUCAGUGGGUAAGGGUAAAAUCCUCUGAUCCAUUGAGGACCACCAGUGGCGAAGGCGGUCUGCCAGAACACGUUCGACGGUGAGGGAUGAAAGCUGGGGGAGCAAACCGGAUUAGAUACCCGGGUAGUCCCAGCUGUAAACGAUGCAAACUCGGUGAUGCAUUGGCUUAUGGCCAAUGCAGUGCCGCAGGGAAGCCGUUAAGUUUGCCGCCUGGGAAGUACGGACGCAAGUUCUGAAACUUAAAGGAAUUGGCGGGGGAGCAC